CACCGCGGUUAUACGAGAGGCCCAAGUUGACAAACACCGGCGUAAAGCGUGGUUAAGUUAAUAAAUCACACUAAAGCCAAACAUCUUCAAGACUGUUAUACGUAACCGAAGACAGGAAGUUCAACCACGAAAGUGGCUUUAUCUAAUCUGAACCCACGAAAGCUAAGGAA
rnacentral:rRNA from 1 species